GGGUGAUUAGCUCAGCUGGGAGAGCACCUCCCUUACAAGGAGGGGGGGCGGCGGUUCGAUCCCGUCAUCACCCACCA
rnacentral:tRNA from 1 species